CCACUGCCGGGGUACCAUGGGACUAUCUCCAGUCCUGAAGAGGCUCCUCUCAGUCACACGGCAGCUCUGGACAAGACUUGUGCAAAGAAAGAUGAUCUCGCUAUGCUGCCUAGGCUGGCCUUGAACUCCUGGGCUCAAGCAAUCCUGCUACACUAUGAGGAGUUGCAAAUACAGGGGGCGUGUAAUCACUCUGUGACUGGUGGCUGCAGGCUCUCCUAAUGGAUAUUUCCUAUUUACAGGGCUACCAACUGCCAAGCAU